rnacentral:rRNA from 1 species
UAAUGCAAGUCGAGCGAAUCUUUGGGAGCUUGCUCCCAUUGGUUAGCGGCGGACGGGUGAGUAACACGUGGGCAACCUGCCUGUAAGACUGGGAUAACUUCGGGAAACCGGAGCUAAUACCGGAUAAUUCUUUUCCUCUCAUGAGGAAAAGCUGAAAGUCGGUUUACGCUGACACUUACAGAUGGGCCCGCGGCGCAUUAGCUAGUUGGUGAGGUAACGGCUCACCAAGGCGACGAUGCGUAGCCGACCUGAGAGGGUGAUCGGCCACACUGGGACUGAGACACGGCCCAGACUCCUACGGGAGGCAGCAGUAGGGAAUCUUCCACAAUGGACGAAAGUCUGAUGGAGCAACGCCGCGUGAGCGAUGAAGGCCUUCGGGUCGUAAAGCUCUGUUGUUAGGGAAGAACAAGUACCGGAGUAACUGCCGGUACCUUGACGGUACCUAACCAGAAAGCCACGGCUAACUACGUGCCAGCAGCCGCGGUAAUACGUAGGUGGCAAGCGUUGUCCGGAAUUAUUGGGCGUAAAGCGCGCGCAGGCGGUCCUUUAAGUCUGAUGUGAAAGCCCACGGCUCAACCGUGGAGGGUCAUUGGAAACUGGGGGACUUGAGUGCAGAAGAGGAAAGCGGAAUUCCACGUGUAGCGGUGAAAUGCGUAGAGAUGUGGAGGAACACCAGUGGCGAAGGCGGCUUUCUGGUCUGUAACUGACGCUGAGGCGCGAAAGCGUGGGGAGCAAACAGGAUUAGAUACCCUGGUAGUCCACGCCGUAAACGAUGAGUGCUAAGUGUUAGGGGGGUUUUCCGCCCCUUAGUGCUGCAGCUAACGCAUUAAGCACUCCGCCUGGGGAGUACGGCCGCAAGGCUGAAACUUCAAUGA